CGGUCCAGACUCCUACGGGAGGCAGCAGUGGGGAAUAUUGCACAAUGGGCGCAAGCCUGAUGCAGCCAUGCCGCGUGUGUGAAGAAGGCCUUCGGGUUGUAAAGCACUUUCAGCGGGGAGGAAGGCGAUAAGGUUAAUAACCUCAUCGAUUGACGUUACCCGCAGAAGAAGCACCGGCUAACUCCGUGCCAGCAGCCGCGGUAAUACGGAGGGUGCAAGCGUUAAUCGGAAUUACUGGGCGUAAAGCGCACGCAGGC
rnacentral:rRNA from 1 species